GGCUGGUUGGCUCAGUGGGUUGAGCGCGGUGCUGAUAACACCGAGAUUGCGCGUUCGAUUCCUGUUUGGUCCG
rnacentral:tRNA from 1 species